rnacentral:rRNA from 1 species
AUUGAACGCUGGCGGCAUGCCUUACACAUGCAAGUCGAACGGCAGCGCGGGAGCAAUCCUGCGGCGAGUGGCGAACGGGUGAGUAAUAUAUCGGAACGUGCCCAGUAGUGGGGGAUAGCCCGGCGAAAGCCGGAUUAAUACCGCAUACGACCUUCGGGUGAAAGGGGGGGAUCGCAAGACCUCUCGCCAUUGGAUCGGCCGAUGUCAGAUUAGGUAGUUGGUGGGGUAAAAGCCUACCAAGCCGACGAUCUGUAGCUGGUCUGAGAGGACGACCAGCCACACUGGGACUGAGACACGGCCCAGACUCCUACGGGAGGCAGCAGUGGGGAAUUUUGGACAAUGGGCGCAAGCCUGAUCCAGCCAUGCCGCGUGCGGGAAGAAGGCCUUCGGGUUGUAAACCGCUUUUGUCAGGGAAGAAACGCUUCGAGCUAAUACCUCGGAGUAAUGACGGUACCUGAAGAAUAAGCACCGGCUAACUACGUGCCAGCAGCCGCCGUAA